UACCUGGUUGAUCCUGCCAGUAGUCAUAUGCUUGUCUCAAAGAUUAAGCCAUGCAAGUCUAAGUACGAGCUCUCGUACAGUGAAACUGCGAAUGGCUCAUUAAAUCAGUUAUGGUUCAUUUGAUCGUACAGUUUACUUGGAUAACUGUGGUAAUUCUAGAGCUAAUACAUGCGAGAAGCGCCGACCUCGCGGGAGGCGUGCAUUUAUCAGACCAAAAACCGGCCGCGUCUUCGGGCGCGUUCGCCUUGGUGACUCUGGAUAACUUUGCGGAUCGCACGGUCUAGCACCGGCGACGGAUCAUUCAAGUGUCUGCCCUAUCAACUUUCGUCGGUACGGUAUUUGCCUACCGAGGUUCUUACGGGUGACGGGGAAUCAGGGUUCGAUUCCGGAGAGGGAGCCUGAGAAACGGCUACCACACCCAAGGAAGGCAGCAGGCGCGCAAAUUACCCAUCCCCGACGCGGGGGA
rnacentral:ncRNA from 1 species